rnacentral:tRNA from 1 species
GGAAGAGUGCCUGAAAGCUAAGGAUCCCCUUGAUAGGGGGAACAAUAGAAGUUCGAAUCUCC